AAAAAACUUCCUCCAUCCGGAAAUACUUGUCAUAUGAAUGAAUGUGUCUGGAUAUUUUUUAGUUCUAGAUACAUUCAUUUUAAAACAUUUGUGCGACAAUUAAUUCCGGACGGAGGGAGUAUACG
rfam:Hordeum vulgare subsp. vulgare, WGS project CAJW01000000 data, contig: morex_contig_1606802